rnacentral:rRNA from 1 species
UACGUAGGUGGCAAGCGUUGUCCGGAUUUACUGGGCGUAAAGGGCGUGCAGGCGGUUUGGUAAGUGCAGGGUGAAAGCUCCCGGCUCAACUGGGAGAGGUCCUUGCAUACUGGCAAACUCGAGGGAGGCAGAGGAAAGUGGAAUUCCUGGUGUAGCGGUGAAAUGCGCAGAUAUCAGGAAGAACACCUAUGGCGAAGGCAGCACUCUGGGACGGUACUGACGCUGAGACGCGAAAGCGUGGGGAGCGAACAGG